rnacentral:rRNA from 1 species
UACAGAGGUCUCGAGCGUUAGGCGGAAUCACUGGGCUUAAAGCGUGUGUAGGUGGAUGCCUAAGUACCUUGUGAAAUCCCACGGCUCAACCGUGGAACUGCUUGGUAUACUGGGUGUCUUGAGCCAUCUAGGGGCUACCGGAACAAAUGGUGGAGCGGUGAAAUGCGUAGAUAUCAUUUGGAACGCCAAUGGUGAAAACAGGUAGCUGGGGAUGUGCUGACGCUGAGACACGAAAGCCAGGGGAGCAAACGGG